rnacentral:rRNA from 1 species
CCUACGGGUGGCAGCAGUGGGGAAUAUUGGACAAUGGGCGAAAGCCUGAUCCAGCCAUGCCGCGUGUGUGAAGAAGGCCUUCGGGUUGUAAAGCACUUUCAGUGGGGAAGAAAGCCUUGGGGCUAAUACCCUCGAGGAAGGACAUCACCCACAGAAGAAGCACCGGCUAACUCCGUGCCAGCAGCCGCGGUAAUACGGAGGGUGCGAGCGUUAAUCGGAAUUACUGGGCGUAAAGCGCGCGUAGGCGGUCUGAUAAGCCGGUUGUGAAAGCCCCGGGCUCAACCUGGGAACGGCAUCCGGAACUGUCAGGCUAGAGUGCUGGAGAGGAAGGUAGAAUUCCCGGUGUAGCGGUGAAAUGCGUAGAGAUCGGGAGGAAUACCAGUGGCGAAGGCGGCCUUCUGGACUGACACUGACGCUGAGGUGCGAAAGCGUGGGUAGCAAACAGGAUUAGAUACCCUAGUAGUC